GACGAACGCUGGCGGCGUGCCUAAUACAUGCAAGUCGAGCGAGCAGAACCAGCAGAUUUACUUCGGUAAUGACGCUGGGGACGCGAGCGGCGGAUGGGUGAGUAACACGUGGGGAACCUGCCCCAUAGUCUAGGAUACCACUUGGAAACAGGUGCUAAUACCGGAUAAUAAAGCAGAUCGCAUGAUCAGCUUAUAAAAGGCGGCGUAAGCUGUCGCUAUGGGAUGGCCCCGCGGUGCAUUAGCUAGUUGGUAAGGUAACGGCUUACCAAGGCAAUGAUGCGUAGCCGAGUUGAGAGACUGAACGGCCACAUUGGGACUGAGACACGGCCCAA
rnacentral:rRNA from 1 species